UCAUCAGCAAAAUGAGCAUAAGGACUCCCUGGCACACAGUAAACACUAUAUAGACUUGCAUCAUUUAUAUUUUUAAUUCAUCAAGGAUGAGAAAAUUGAUUAACACAAAAUCUUUUCAUGUCUUUUCUGAUGAGGGACUAGCUGAGUCCAAGAAGAGAAGCCCUUGAAGAGUGUAUUGAAUUUUAGACAAGCAUUCACACAUUGGCUUCUUUGGUGCCAGAUUAAAGAAUGAAGAAAGGAUCAAAUCGAGACAUCCAGGGGGAAAGAGUUCCCUGGCAAAACUCCAAUCUGCCUGAGCACUGAGGUGGAGCCACAGAAGUCCUGGUCAUUUGCAACCGGGAGGAGCCUGGCCCCUCCUCUUCCUGUGUGGAAUCUGGGAUUUAAUCUGUGAGGAGGGAAAGCCACGGGCAGGAAGCACAGGCUCUCACUUCACUAAGAGUCUCUGUUUCCCCUUUUUAUUUCUUUAUGCCUAAUAAAUCCCAUUUUUCUUACUCUUCAAA